ACGUGGUUUUGUUUUUGUGAUGUGAUGAAGGUAGUAAUUACAUUCCUACUCUUUGAUGAUAAUUCUCAAUAAAUUAAUUUGUUUUAAAUAUUGUAAUUGUAAAUUACAUAGUUUGUUAUGUGUAAUAGUUGAAUGUAUGGAAGUAAACGCGUGCGUAGGUUACACGGUCAUCUAAAAACAUGGAAGCGGAUUCAACUACCUACGAAACUAAUCCAAAAUCUCAAAUUAAUGAAAUUACUUUACCAUUCAAUACAAGUCCGGGGAAUUUGAAUCUGUAUAAAGAAUUAAUUAGUUGCGAUGGGAUGCGUAACUUGGAAAGUAACUUAAUAGGAAAGCUGCAAUCUUUUGGACUACUUCCUUCAAAUAUUACGUGUCCCACAAAUGGGGCAAACUGUAAAGUUAUAUGCAAAUCAGCUCGAGUUAUUGACAGAGUACAAUGGCUGUGCGAAGGGUGCAGUAGGAAGCAGCCAAUCCGAACAGGGUCAUUCUUCUUCAAGCUACCAUGUUCUCUACUUCAAACUAUGCAACUGAUACUGGCGUGGUGUGAGGAUGCUGAUGUUACGACUGCUGCACAAUACUUUGAUAUAAAACCCAGGGUUGCCACUUCAAUAUAUGACAAACUGGAUGAUCUGGCAAUAAAUGAGCUGAAGAAGACUAAACUAGGCGGUGAGAAUUCCGUGGUCCUUAGUGAGAUAUACCCCGACUGCUUAAACAGGCUCUCUCCAGAUACUACUGAUCAGCCGCAUGUGCAUAGGAUACUGAUGCUUGCUGAUACCAAGCACAUUCCCACACAUUACAAACUUCAUGUGAUUCGGGAUGAUCUCAAAAAACCACAAAGUAAACAGGAUCAGUUGCUUAGAGAACAAAUAGAGCAAGUACUAAGAAGUGAAACGGACGCACAGUCUAUGUUGGUGAUGGGUAACAAUGUGCCCGUGGAUGGGACAAUCCCUUUGCAGCAGCUGAUGCAGCACUGUGACGUCGAUAUGCAGCGUUUCUUAACUUCAAGAAUAUGGACGCAAGCGCUAACAUUAUGCUCGGCGUCGCGAGACAUCUGCGCAGGCGCACCCUCGUCUGCCUGCGCGGUCGCGGUGCAGCGUUACCUCGACACCGCGCUCUACCGCCUGCGAUACGGCGACGGCUUCUACACACACACACUGAGGGUCAUAUCUAAUGCAUUCACACUGAAGGCCACGACUGAUUAAGCGCCGAGCUCAUUGAGCAUAUUGAGCUCUCAUCUCUCAAAUCAAGCUCAAUCCUUGUGGCAAUAAGCUUGAUUGAUAAACAGAGAGAGAUGGGACGUAAGAGAGAGAGAGCGCUACUCCUAGCUAGUAACUUUCCGCGGUUGGAGUAUAAAUAAUUAUUGUUACUUAUAUCUUUCGGGUCAAUUAUUUGUGAGUUGUGAAUAUAAGAACCUUCACGUAGAAGGUUGUUUUCAAUGUUAUGUUUUUGCCGAUUUUCGGUCUCAAUAUUAACACAAAUCUAACACCUUUCACAGACGACCGAAAAUCGGCAAAUGAUCGGGGAAAGACGAUCGGAAAAUCGGAGAAAGAUGUUAGAUUUGUGUUAAUAUUAAAUAACCAAGUAUUAUGAUUAUAGUGAUAAAAAGUUGACAAAUAAUAACUAAUUAUAAGUGCCUUUAGUUUAAGUCUUCCAAAGUGGCCUUCGCCAUCCAUUUUCCUAUUUUGAGUGAAAAAAUUGAUAUUAUUUUCAUGAUAUUAUUAUUAGUCUUGUAAUCAAUAAUAUUUUUGUUACUAUCGUAAAAUUGUAUACAAUUAUUGUUACUUAGAAUAGAAUACAUAAUAAACAGUUGCUUUUUCAAUGUGGAGUAACGUUGUAAACAAUAAAAAAAUCCUUUCUAAGUUAUAGAUUGAAAUUACUUUGUCAAACUUAUGUCCGUUUUCAGUAUUGAAUCUAUCUGUACGUUUUUAUUUGUCCAAAAUUGUACAAAUAACAAAGUUACUAAUUAACAUAAUAUUUACAGAUUAAAGGUAGAUUGAAUAUUGAAUACAGACGUUAAAAAGUGAAGUAUUUUUUUUUCUUUCUAAGGGCGUUUGUGCAUUCAUUCGCAUUCGGUUCGUAUUUAUUUAUGUACCUAAGCAAGAAAACGGAGAUCUAUUGUUUUGCUUACCUAGAACACUCGAAUACUUACGAGCCGAAUACGAAUUAGUGCACAAACGCCCUAAGUCACUGACUUACGGCUAAAAUUAAUAAUUAUUCAAUCUAUCCGUAAUCUAUCAAUAAGUUAAAGUUACUUAGGGCCGAUUUUUCAAUCGUCAAAUAACUUUUAUCUACAGAAAAAAUUUGACGUUUUGACAGACUUUCUAUCGAAUAAAUAUCUAAACCUCUUUAUGAUAAAAGUUAUUUGACGAUUGAAAAAUCGGCCCUUAGCUAUUUGUUAAAAAAAAGACACAAUUUUACAACGUUGCUAGGAAACUUAUCGAGAGAUUAAAGAUUAGAUUUUAUUAUUUAUUAAUUUCGACUGUUACAAAAUAAAAGUUAUAGUUAGUUAAGAUUACUUUGAAAACGUCUUUUGUGACUAUUCGAAUGGUUGAUUUUAUGUUAUUUUGAUUGGUAUUAAAUAAAGCACAAUCGAGUCUUCCCCUUGUUAUAUUUAUUAUGCGUUUGAACUAAGAAAACCAUCGCCGUAUCUAAAAUAUAAACUUAUCUAAAUUUGACAUUUCAUUAUUCUGUUAAUUUAUUGCGUGAUUUUUGGUAUAAAUUAAAAAAAAACACGGUGGUACGAAUUUUAAAAGAAUGUAAGCAACGACUCUUUAAUAUAAGUUUAUUGUGUUUGUAUGCAAGUUGGUGUUACGAAGUACUUUCCUUGUCGACGGUCUUCAGAUUCAGAUUCAGAUUUAUUUAUUUGCUUUCAUAUUAUUUAUUUCAGAUUUAUUUAUUAUUAUUUACAUUAAUUGAUGGUGGGUGCUUAAAGCUAAAAGUUAAAUACAUGAGACCCUGUCAGGGCAUGGCAAAUACAAUUUUAGGUACAGUAAAAUGGUUAAUAUUAAAGAUACAAUAAGAAUAGGAUUAAAAUUACCAUUACUAGAUAUUAAAUAUUAUUCAUUUGUAUUCUUAUAUAUUAUUAUAUUAUGAGAAUGUCGACUAGAAUGUUAAAGCAAGAUUAGUACAAAAUAAAGAUAUGGUCAAAGUAUAGUAGUAUUAAAUAAUUGCUGUCAUGGUCUGAUUAAGUCUCUGUCAAUAGAAUAAAAUAUUUAAAAUAGUUACUGUAUGAAAUAGUUACUGAUCUUCUCAAUUGAAAUGCAUAGUACCUACCUAUUUCUUCCUUAUUGUUAUUAUUAGUUUUCUGCAGCGUUAUUAUUAUUUUUGUGUCUAGUUUUUGAUAGGUUUACCUUGAGGUUUACGUGAAAAUUAAUGUUUUUUUAUUGUUUAGUUUUUCGGCUGAUUAAUAAAAAUAAAAGUUUUGCGUAAAUCUCUAAGUUUGUGAAUCAUUGUAAAUUAUAAGGGAAUUACUCUUUAUGUUAAAAAUUAUUUUAGUUGUAAGUGCCUUAAUAAAACUUAAGUUUGUAAAUUA